ACUCCUACGGGAGGCAGCAGUGGGGAAUAUUGGACAAUGGGCGCAAGCCUGAUCCAGCCAUGCCGCGUGAGUGAUGAAGGCCCUAGGGUUGUAAAGCUCUUUCACCGGUGAAGAUAAUGACGGUAACCGGAGAAGAAGCCCCGGCUAACUUCGUGCCAGCAGCCGCGGUAAUACGAAGGGGGCUAGCGUUGUUCGGAUUUACUGGGGCGUAAAGCGCACGUAGGCGGACUUUUAAGUCAGGGGUGAAAUCCCGGGGGCUCAACCCCGGAACUGCCUUUGAUACUGGAAGUCUUGAGUAUGGUAGAGGUGAGUGGAAUUCCGAGUGUAGAGGUGAAAUUCGUAGAUAUUCGGAGGAACACCAGUGGCGAAGGCGGCUCACUGGACCAUUACUGACGCUGUGGUGCGAAAGCGUGGGGAGCAAACAGGAUUAGAUACCCUGGUAGGAUAGCG
rnacentral:rRNA from 1 species